UACGUAGGGUGCAAGCGUUGUCCGGAAUUAUUGGGCGUAAAGAGCUCGUAGGCGGUCUGUUGCGUCGGCUGUGAAAACCCGGGGCUCAACUCCGGGCCUGCAGCCGAUACGGGCAGACUAGAGUGAUGUAGGGGAGACUGGAAUUCCUGGUGUAGCGGUGAAAUGCGCAGAUAUCAGGAGGAACACCGAUGGCGAAGGCAGGUCUCUGGGCAUUAACUGACGCUGAGGAGCGAAAGCAUGGGGAGCGAACAGG
rnacentral:rRNA from 1 species